rnacentral:rRNA from 1 species
CUUGGCGACCAUAGCGUUUUGGACCCACCUGACUUCCAUGCCGAACUCAGAAGUGAAACGAAAUAGCGCCGAUGGUAGUGUGGGGCU